rnacentral:tRNA from 1 species
GCCGACGUAGCUCAACGGUAGAGCAGCUGAUUUGUAAUCAGCAGGUUGGGGGUUCGAUUCCCUUCGUCGGCUCCA